GACGAACGCUGGCGGCGUGCUUAACACAUGCAAGUCGAACGGUGAAGCUCCAGCUUGCUGGAGUGGAUCAGUGGCGAACGGGUGAGUAACACGUGAGCAACCUGCCCCUGACUCUGGAAUAAGCGCUGGAAACGGCGUCUAAUACUGGAUACGAGAAGGGUCCGCAUGGGCACUUUCUGGAAAGUUUUUCGGUUGGGGAUGGGCUCGCGGCCUAUCAGCUUGUUGGUGAGGUAAUGGCUCACCAAGGCGACGACGGGUAGCCGGCCUGAGAGGGCGACCGGCCACACUGGGACUGAGACACGGCCCAGACUCCUACGGGAGGCAGCAGUGGGGAAUAUUGCACAAUGGGCGAAAGCCUGAUGCAGCGACGCCGCGUGAGGGAUGACGGCCUUCGGGUUGUAAACCUCUUUCAGCAGGGAAGAAGCGAAAGUGACGGUACCUGCAGAAGUAGCACCGGCUAACUACGUG
rnacentral:rRNA from 1 species